rnacentral:rRNA from 1 species
UGGGGAAUAUUGCACAAUGGGCGCAAGCCUGAUGCAGCCAUGCCGCGUGUAUGAAGAAGGCCUUCGGGUUGUAAAGUACUUUCAGCGGGGAGGAAGGCGAUAAGGUUAAUAACCUUGUCGAUUGACGUUACCCGCAGAAGAAGCACCGGCUAACUCCGUGCCAGCAGCCGCGGUAAUCCGGAGGGGGCAAGCGUUAAUCGGAAUUACUGGGCGUAAAGCGCACGCAGGCGGUCUGUCAAGUCGGAUGUGAAAUCCCCGGGCUCAACCUGGGAACUGCAUUCGAAACUGGCAGGCUAGAGUCUUGUAGAGGGGGGUAGAAUUCCAGGUGUAGCGGUGAAAUGCGUAGAGAUCUGGAGGAAUACCGGUGGCGAAGGCGGCCCCCUGGACAAAGACUGACGCUCAGGUGCGAAAGCGUGGGGAGCAAACA